rnacentral:snRNA from 1 species
GUUGCUUCUCAGCCUUUGGGCUAAGAUUGAGCAUAGUAUCUGUUCUUACCAGUUUAAUAUCUGUCAUGUUCCUCUAUUCGAGAACAACAUAUUAAAUCGAUUUUUGGAGCAGGAAGAUGAAAUAGGAGCUUGCUUUGUCCCCAACUCCACAUAUCAACCUAGUAGUGUAGUAUCUCCAGGAAUGGUGCAUUCCCA